rnacentral:rRNA from 1 species
UGGGGAAUAUUGCACAAUGGGCGCAAGCCUGAUGCAGCCAUGCCGCGUGUAUGAAGAAGGCCUUCGGGUUGUAAAGUACUUUCAGCGAGGAGGAAGGCGUUGUGGUUAAUAACCGCAGCGAUUGACGUUACUCGCAGAAGAAGCACCGGCUAACUCCGUGCCAGCAGCCGCGGUAAUACGGAGGGUGCAAGCGUUAAUCGGAAUUACUGGGUGUAAAGCGCACGCAGGCGGUCUGUCAAGUCGGAUGUGAAAUCCCCGGGCUCAACCUGGGAACUGCAUCCGAAACUGGCAGGCUAGAGUCUUGUAGAGGGGGUAGAAUUCCAGGUGUAGCGGUGAAAUGCGUAGAGAUGUGGAGGAAUACCUGUGGCGAAGGCG